rnacentral:rRNA from 1 species
AGCGAACGCUGGCGGCAGGCCUAACACAUGCAAGUCGAACGAACCCUUCGGGGUUAGUGGCGGACGGGUGAGUAACACGUGGGAACGUGCCCUUUGGUUCGGAACAACUCAGGGAAACUUGAGCUAAUACCGAAUGUGCCCUUCGGGGGAAAGAUUUAUCGCCUUUAGAGCGGCCCGCGUCUGAUUAGCUAGUUGGUGAGGUAAAGGCUCACCAAGGCGACGGUCAGUAGCUGGUCUGAGAGGAUGAUCAGCCACAUUGGGACUGAGACACGGCCCAAACUCCUACGGGAGGCAGCAGUGGGGAAUCUUGCGCAAUGGGCGAAAGCCUGACGCAGCCAUGCCGCGUGAAUGAUGAAGGUCUUAGGAUUGUAAAAUUCUUUCACCGGGGACGAUAAUGACGGUACCCGGAGAAGAAGCCCCGGCUAACUUCGUGCCAGCCGCCGCGGUAAAAC